GACGAACGCUGGCGGCGUGCUUAACACAUGCAAGUUGAACGGUAAGGCCCUUCGGGGUACACGAGUGGCGAACGGGUGAGUAACACGUGGGUGAUCUGCCCUGCACUUCGGGAUAAGCCUGGGAAACUGGGUCUAAUACCGGAUAGGACCACUGCCUGCAUGGGUGGUGGUGGAAAGCUUUUGCGGUGUGGGAUGGGCCCGCGGCCUAUCAGUUUGUUGGUGGGGUGAUGGCCUACCAAGGCGACGACGGGUAGGCGGCCUGAGAGGGUGACCGGCGAGACUGGGACUGAGAUACGGCCCAGAAUCCUACGGGAGGCAUCAGUGGGGAAUAUUGCACAAUGGGCGCAAGCCUGAUGCAGCGACGCCGCGUGAGGGAUGACGGCCUUCGGGUUGUAAACCUCUUUCAGCACCGACGAAGCGCAAGUGACGGUAGGUGCAGAAGAAGGACCGGCCAACUACGUGCCAGCCGCCGCCGUAA
rnacentral:rRNA from 1 species